GUCUGCUGUCUACUUUAUUUUGUCUUGAUGGAAGAUUAAUAAACUGACUUAAAAUUAAGAAAUAUUGCCUCUGGAGAAUAGUAUGGGAAGAUGGAACUAUCCUUACUUAGAUGCACCCUUAGCAUCUGGAACAGAGCAGGUGAUGAAUAUCUCUCUGGAUCCCAUUCCUGGCUCUCCAGAGCUAUUCUACUCUGCCAAAGAGACCUCCUCCCUCUGGAAGCUCCCUCCACUCCUGGACUUCUCAGACUGGGCACAUUCCACAACGGUAGCCACUUCCUCAGAUGGAUGCUUCACCUCAGCUCCCAGAACAGCACACCCAUGGAAACUGGGGAAUCAGACCAAUGGCGAAUUUCAAAAUGCCGAAAGGAUUCUUUUCUUUUCAUCGUACACCUAGAAUCUGAAAUUUCUCCCCCAUUGAGAAUAUGGAAACAAGGGUCUGACAUCUUGGACGUUAAGAAUAUUAUCAAUGGGGAAAGAGACUAACUGAAUCAAGGAAGAAAGCCCAGGAAAUAGAACUACUCUGGACCAGAGCCACUGGGGAGGGGGAGGACAAGUUAAUCUGACCAGGAAAAUCUGACAGCAAAUGAAUUUGUACUCAUUUAGAAAGUCUGAAUGCCUGCCUCCCAGUGACUGCCAUCUCUGGCUCCCUUUGCUGCUGGAAUACAGAAAAAGACCAGUUUGCUGGGGCUAGGAUUUCUUUGAGACCUGCAGUUUAGGGAAGAGUUGAGUGAAGGAAGAGAAAAGCCAUAUGGGAUAAAAGACAGACUAUCAGAGCUAGAGACAGCGUCAUGCCCUUUGGGGGCAAAGAAUCUGAAUUCAAAUCAUACUCUGCUAUGCAAUUUACUGCCAGUUUGGCUUUGGGGAAAAGUUCCACACCAGGCUUUUUCUCUGGCUGUCCCUCCUUCUCUGCUCUACUGGCCUCUCUGGCUUCCUUUAGGUCCCAACUAAAAUCUCAUCUUCUACAGAAGUGGUCUCCAACCUCUCUUAAUUCCAGUGCUUUUCUUCUUUUUAAUUUUUUUGUUUAAAUUCCAAGACUUUCCCUCCUUUUCUUAUUUCUCACUUAUGCUGAGUACAUUUGUUUUGGAUAUAUUUGUUUGCAUGUUAUCCUUCUCACUCAAUUAUAAGCUCCUCCAGGGCAGGACCUAUCUUUUGCCUCUUUU
rnacentral:lncRNA from 1 species